CUGAUUAUCCUGUAGAUGAUCGCAGCAAGCUUGAGGUUCUGAUUUAGCCACGCAAUCGUCUGGCCUCUAUCAGUAUCCACAUAGGCAAAAUCUAGAUUAUCUUCUUCUCAUGAAUUUUUGUUCCAAAAAUUAGAACUAAAUCUGAUUAGGAAGAUCUUCAAAAGUUUUCCUGAAGUUGGAGCAGCAGCUUGUCGAAGAACUCCUGCAGCCUUUCUGUUCAAGGCAUCACCACACCUUGAUCUUGCACCAGAUGGAUGCCCAACUCCUUGGGCAUGAAGAGGGGAGGGAGUACUUCAGAUGGGAUGUGGAGAAGAGGA
rnacentral:lncRNA from 1 species